UCCGUUGGUGAACCAGCGGAGGGAUCAUUACCGAGUUUACAACUCCCAAACCCCUGUGAACAUACCAAUUGUUGCCUCGGCGGAUCAGCCCGCUCCCGGUAAAACGGGACGGCCCGCCAGAGGACCCCUAAACUCUGUUUCUAUAUGUAACUUCUGAGUAAAACCAUAAAUAAAUCAAAACUUUCAACAACGGAUCUCUUGGUUCUGGCAUCGAUGAAGAACGCAGCAAAAUGCGAUAAGUAAUGUGAAUUGCAGAAUUCAGUGAAUCAUCGAAUCUUUGAACGCACAUUGCGCCCGCCAGUAUUCUGGCGGGCAUGCCUGUUCGAGCGUCAUUUCAACCCUCAAGCCCUCGGGUUUGGUGUUGGGGAUCGGCGAGCCUCACGGCAAGCCGGCCCCGAAAUAUAGUGGCGGUCUCGCUGCAGCUUCCAUUGCGUAGUAGUAAAACCCUCGCAACUGGUACGCGGCGCGGCCAAGCCGUUAAACCCCCAACUUCUGAAUGUUGACCUCGGAUCAGGUAGGAAUACCCGCUG
rnacentral:rRNA from 1 species